CGAAAUACAUUAGCAUGGGAUAAUGGAAUAGGACCCUGUCCUCCUAUUUUCAGUUGGUUUUGGCAGCGCGAGGACUAGGGUAAUGAUUAAUAGGGAUAGUUGGGGGCAUUAAUAUUUAAUUGUCAGAGGUGAAAUUCUUGGAUUUAUGAAAGAUUAACUUCUGCGAAAGCAUCUGCCAAGGAUGUUUUCAUUAAUCAAGAACGAAAGUUAGGGGAUCGAAGACGAUCAGAUACCGUCGUAGUCUUAACCAUAAACGAUGCCGACCAGCGAUUAGGAGACGUUGAAUACAAAACACCACCAUCGGUGCGGUCGUCCUUGGCGUCGGUCUUUCGGGGCCGGCGCGGGGACGGCUUAGCCCGGUGGCACCGGUGAAUGACUCCCU
rnacentral:rRNA from 1 species